UUCGGUGUGCGGCUGUUUUGCG
rnacentral:miRNA from 15 species